UAUAAAGUGGCAACAGUGGUUAAGGCGAAAGAUUAGAAAUCUUUUGGGCUUUGCCCGCGCAGGUUCGAGUCCUGCAGUUGUCG
rnacentral:tRNA from 1 species